ensembl:piRNA 21ur-6271 ncRNA
UUUGACGAUAGUUUCGAUUGA